UGAAGGAGGAAAGGAUAAGAGGAAGAA
rnacentral:piRNA from 1 species